UACAGAGGUCUCAAGCGUUGUUCGGAUUCAUUGGGCGUAAAGGGCGCGUAGGCGGGCUGCGGCGUCCGGGGUGAAAUCCUCCCGCUCAACGGGAGAACGGCCUCGGAUACGGGCGGCCUCGAGGGAGGUAGGGGCAUCGGGAACUGUGAGUGGAGCGGUGAAAUGCGUUGAUAUUCACAGGAACUCCGGUGGCGAAGGCGCGGUGCUGGACCUCAUCUGACGCUGAGGCGCGAAAGCCAGGGGAGCGAACGGG
rnacentral:rRNA from 1 species